GAAUGGGAACCUGUUUAGUAGUGGUGGUAGUGGUGAUAGUAUAAUAAUAAUAGUAAUAAUAAUGAUAAUAAUGAUAAUGAUGAUAAUAAAUAAUAAUAAUAAAUAAUAAUAAUAAUAAUAAUAACUGUAGUACUGGUAGCAGACGUGGUAUCGGUAAUAACAACAACAACAACAACAACAACAACCAAAACAACAACUAAGUUUUAAAAAAAGGCAAGAACAAAAACUAAAAAGAAAAAAAAAACAAGAAAAAAACGAAGACCAAGGAAAAAAAAAGAAGCAAGAACAACAACAAGACUAAAAAAAAAAAGAAUAAGAAGAACAAGAAAACAAGACAAAGAAUCACAAUAAACUACAGGGUGAAUGCGUGGCCGGUGACAGUGUGGGUUGCCUGCUUCACCACAAAGACGCCGCCUACUGUCGCUGCCUCACGCUACUUUCACGGGAUCACUUAUACACACGUCUGCGUCUCACACUUGUUAUGAAUGGCAAGUGAAGCCGCUCGAGGUGAAAGGACGAGCAGAGAGAGGUUUGUUUUCGUCUCUCCCAUAAAUGUGAGUAAAGAAAAUUCAGAUAGUGAUUAAUUUAAGUUCUGAAUUUAAUCUGAUCUAUUUUUUUUUUUUUUUUUUUAUGAGGAGGAAAGUAAUGGUAAGUGUUAGAAGUAUGAAAAAGACAAGUGAAGUAAUUAUAAAAAGUAACGAAGAGGAGAAAGAAGUCAGUUUGUCUUUCCUAUAAAGAAGAGUAAGAAAAUCCAAAUACUAAGAUUAAUUUGUGUUUUGAACUUAUUUAUAUUUAUUUAUCAUGUAUAAGUAAUUAAAUAUUAGUCUAAGAAGCACAAAAAAAAGUAAA